UGGGGAAUUUUGGACAAUGGGGGAAACCCUGAUCCAGCCAUCCCGCGUGUGCGAUGAAGGCCUUCGGGUUGUAAAGCACUUUUGGCAGGAAAGAAACGUCAUGGGUUAAUACCCCGUGAAACUGACGGUACCUGCAGAAUAAGCACCGGCUAACUACGUGCCAGCAGCCGCGGUAAUACGUAGGGUGCAAGCGUUAAUCGGAAUUACUGGGCGUAAAGCGUGCGCAGGCGGUUCGGAAAGAAAGAUGUGAAAUCCCAGAGCUCAACUUUGGAACUGCAUUUUUGACUACCGGGCUAGAGUGUGGCAGAGGGAGGUGGAAUUCCGCGUGUAGCAGUGAAAUGCGUAGAUAUGCGGAGGAACACCGAUGGCGAAGGCAGCCUCCUGGGAUAACACUGACGCUCAUGCACGAAAGCGUGGGGAGCAAACAGG
rnacentral:rRNA from 1 species